rnacentral:rRNA from 1 species
AUUGAACGCUGGCGGCAGGCCUAACACAUGCAAGUCGAGCGAGCGGCGGACGGGUGAGUAAUGUCUGGAAAACUGCCUGAUGGAGGGGGAUAACUACUGGAAACGGUAGCUAAUAACGCAUACCAUCGGAUGUGCCCAGAUUGUAUGAGCUAGUAGGUGGGGUAAAGGCUCACCUAAGCGACGAUCCCUAGCUGGUCUGAGAGGGUGACCAGCCACACUGUGACUGAGACACGGCCCAGACUCCUACGGGAGGCAGCAGUGGUGAAUAUUGCACAAGGGGCGCAAGCCUGAUUCAGCCAUGCCGCGUGUAUGAAGAAGGCCUUCGGGUUGUAAAGUACUUUCAGCGGGGAGGCGUUACCCGCAGAAGAAGCAACGGCUAACUCCGUGCCAGCCGCCGCGGUAAUUC